UACAGAGGCCUCGAGCGUUAGGCGGAAUCACUGGGCUUAAAGCGUGUGUAGGCGGACUUCUAAGUACCUUGUGAAAUCCCACGGCUUACCCGUGGAACUGCUGGGUAUACUGGUCGUCUUGAGCCAUCUAGGGGCUACCGGAACAAAUGGUGGAGCGGUGAAAUGCGUAGAUAUCAUUUGGAACGCCAAUGGUGAAAACAGGUAGCUGGGGAUGUGCUGACGCUGAGACACGAAAGCGUGGGGAUCAAACAGG
rnacentral:rRNA from 1 species